rnacentral:misc_RNA from 1 species
UGAGUUUGUAAUCUGUUGUUGCUUGCUUGUUUAUAAUCAAAUAAAAAGAUCUAUCAAAAUCACCAAUCCAUGGAAACUCCCCAAGCUACAAGAAGCAAAUAAUUAUAACCAUAUACAACUCUUGACGCCUGUUACAGAAAUCAAUUUCAGUGAUAUCCUGAACUAGGAUAGGAUCAUCCCGUCCUAAGUUGGAAUAGCAUUUUUAUCACAAAAGCCGCCUUCAAUAGUCAUGAAACUAGAUGCAAAAUCAAUGAGCACUGACAAGAAAUGGAU